rnacentral:rRNA from 1 species
UACAGAGGGGGCAAGCGUUGUUCGGAAUUACUGGGCGUAAAGCGCACGUAGGCGGAUUGUUAAGUCGGGGGUGAAAUCCUGGAGCUCAACUCCAGAACUGCCUUCGAAACUGGCGAUCUUGAGUCCGGGAGAGGUGAGUGGAACUGCGAGUGUAGAGGUGAAAUUCGUAGAUAUUCGCAAGAACACCAGUGGCGAAGGCGGCUCACUGGCCCGGUACUGACGCUGAGGUGCGAAAGCGUGGGGAGCAAACAGG